UACGUAGGGUGCGAGCGUUAAUCGGAAUUACUGGGCGUAAAGCGUGCGCAGGCGGUUUUGUAAGCCAGAUGUGAAAUCCCCGGGCUUAACCUGGGAAUGGCAUUUGGGACUGCAAGGCUUGAGUGCGGCAGAGGAGACUGGAAUUCCUGGUGUAGCAGUGAAAUGCGUAGAUAUCGUCUGGAACGCCGAAGGUGAAAACAGCUCGCUGGGGCUGCGCUGACGCUGAGACACGAAAGCCAGGGGAGCGAACGGG
rnacentral:rRNA from 1 species